rnacentral:rRNA from 1 species
UUCCUACGGGAGGCAGCAGUGGGGAAUUUUGCGCAAUGGGGGAAACCCUGACGCAGCGACGCCGCGUGAGUGAGGAAGGUUUUCGGAUCGUAAAGCUCUGUCAGAAGGGAAGAAGUGCUGCAUGGUUAAUACCCAUGCAGUUUGACGGUACCUUCAGAGGAAGCACCGGCUAACUCCGUGCCAGCAGCCGCGGUGAUACGGAGGGUGCGAGCGUUGUUCGGAAUUACUGGGCGUAAAGGGCGCGCAGGCGGCCUGAUAAGUCAGAUGUGAAAGUCCACGGCUCAACCGUGGAAGUGCAUUUGAAACUGUCUGGCUUGAGUAUCGGAGGGGAGUGUGGAAUUCCCGGUGUAGAGGUGAAAUUCGUAGAGAUCGGGAGGAACACCGGUGGCGAAGGCGACACUCUGGACGAAUACUGACGCUGAGGCGCGAAAGCGUGGGGAGCAAACAGGAUUAGAUACCCUGGUAGUCCACGCCGUAAACGAUGUGAACUAGAGGUAGGCGGUGUUGAUCCCGCCUGUCUCGCAGCUAACGCAUUAAGUUCACCGCCUGGGGAGUACGGUCGCAAGAUUAAAACUCAAAUGAAUUGACGGAA